rnacentral:rRNA from 1 species
AUUGAACGCUGGCGGCAGGCCUAACACAUGCAAGUCGAACGGUAACAGGGAUCAGCUUGCUGAUUCGCUGACGAGUGGCGGACGGGUGAGUAAUGUCUGGGAAACUGCCUGAUGGAGGGGGAUAACUACUGGAAACGGUAUCUAAUACCGCAUAACGUCGCAAGACCAAAGAGGGGGACCUUCGGGCCUCUUGCCCUCGGAUGUGCCCAGAUGGGAUUAGCUAGUAGGUGGGGUAACGGCUCACCUAGGCGACGAUCCCUAGCUGGUCUGAGAGGAUGACCAGCCACACUGGAACUGAGACACGGUCCAGACUCCUACGGGAGGCAGCAGUGGGGAAUAUUGCACAAUGGGCGCAAGCCUGAUGCAGCCAUGCCGCGUGUAUGAAGAAGGCCUUCGGGUUGUAAAGUACUUUCAGCGGGGAGGAAGGUAGUAAAGUUAAUACCUUUGCUCAUUGACGUUACCCGCAGAAGAAGCACCGGCUAACUCCGUG